rnacentral:pre_miRNA from 1 species
AGGGGAGUGCCAGAUCCUGGGCUAUGUCCCCUGGUGCCUUGAGCUCUGGAGCCUGCACUGCUGGAAUCGUGCUCCCGGGGCUGCGCAGUCCCCU